rnacentral:rRNA from 1 species
GCAGACUGGGAUAACUCCGGGAAACCGGAGCUAAUACCGGGUAAUACAUCGCACCGCAUGGUGCAAUGUUGAAAGUUGGCUUUCUGAGCUAACACUGCAGGAUGGGCCCGCGGCGCAUUAGCUAGUUGGUAAGGUAAUGGCUUACCAAGGCGACGAUGCGUAGCCGACCUGAGAGGGUGAUCGGCCACACUGGGACUGAGACACGGCCCAGACUCCUACGGGAGGCAGCAGUAGGGAAUCUUCCGCAAUGGACGAAAGUCUGACGGAGCAACGCCGCGUGAGUGACGAAGGCCUUCGGGUCGUAAAGCUCUGUUGUUAGGGAAGAACAAGUACCGUUCGAAUAGGGCGGUACCUUGACGGUACCUAACCAGAAAGCCACGGCUAACUACGUGCCAGCAGCCGCGGUAAUACGUAGGUGGCAAGCGUUGUCCGGAAUUAUUGGGCGUAAAGCGCGCGCAGGCGGUCUUUUAAGUCUGAUGUGAAAGCCCACGGCUCAACCGUGGAGGGUCAUUGGAAACUGGAGGACUUGAGUGCAGAAGAGGAGAGUGGAAUUCCACGUGUAGCGGUGAAAUGCGUAGAUAUGUGGAGGAACACCAGUGGCGAAGGCGGCUCUCUGGUCUGUAACUGACGCUGAGGCGCGAAAGCGUGGGGAGCAAACAGGAUUAGAUACCCUGGUAGUCCACGCCGUAAACGAUGAGUGCUAGGUGUUGGGGGGUUCCACCCUCAGUGCUGAAGUUAACACAUUAAGCACUCCGCCUGGGGAGUACGACCGCAAGGUUGAAACUCAAAGGAAUUGACGGGGGCCCGCACAAGCAGUGGAGCAUGUGGUUUAAUUCGAAGCAACGCGAAGAACCUUACCAGGUCUUGACAUCCUCUGACAAUCCUGGAGACAGGACGUUCCCCUUCGGGGGACAGAGUGACAGGUGGUGCAUGGUUGUCGUCAGCUCGUGUCGUGAGAUGUUGGGUUAAGUCCCGCAACGAGCGCAACCCUUGAUCUUAGUUGCCAGCAUUUAGUUGGGCACUCUAAGGUGACUGCCGGUGACAAACCGGAGGAAGGUGGGGAUGACGUCAAAUCAUCAUGCCCCUUAUGACCUGGGCUACACACGUGCUACAAUGGACGGUACAAAGGGCAGCAACACCGCGAGGUGAAGCAAAUCCCAUAAAGCCGUUCUCAGUUCGGAUUGCAGGCUGCAACUCGCCUGCAUGAAGCCGGAAUUGCUAGUA